AUCAGGUAUACAUACGUUUUCCUCUUUAGCCCUGUGAAAUUGAUCAUAGAGGGAAGACAUAGGUAAUUUCCCCAAAUCGCAACGCAGUACAGAGACACUCCUUCGCCCACAUCUGUCGACUUCUUCACCUGAGAAUCAGGCUGAUAACCGAGGAUGUGGUAUGUUUGUAUGGUUGAAAGAUGAAAUACAUAUCUCUACCAUACAACACACAUU